rnacentral:lncRNA from 1 species
CGGCCGAGUCUCUCCUGGCCCCAGUGUUUGUUGGACAGAAUUCACCUCUUUCUAUCAUUCUCUCUUGCAGGCUCUGUCUCUCCUCGCUGUGCUAUUCACAGGGGUAUAAAAUGCUCAGGCAAACAGAAGUCAAUGGCAGAUGUGUCGGCAGCACUUCUUUCUGUAAUUUUACUAAAUGGAUGUAGCCCAUAAAAGCAGCCUUAAUUAAUGGAAACAUUUUAAAGGAGUGUAUUUAAGAAAGGAUUCUCAAGAGGAAAAAAGGACUAGGAAGGGCUAAAAAAAAAGGAGAGUGUGGGUAGCAGGUGGAGCUACAAGCAAUCUGUGAAAAAGCUGCACUUCAUCCUAAUAAAUGAAUUUUCCAUCUCAAACUGGAGUUAACUCAGUGGCACCAGAAAAGUUUACACCAGCUGUGAAUCUGGCCCUACUGGCAAGUGUUCAAGCAAAAAUAUUACCAUCCGCUAGCAUUUACUUUCCAAAAGACAUGCUUUUAUUUAUCUCUUUUUAACAAAAUUAUUGGCUUUCCUCCAGCGUUAGGCAAUUUCUGAAGAAUUUCACCCAUGGCAUCUACCUGGACAAGAAGCUGGUGUCUCUCCCCUCUCAGUGAACACUGAAAAAUGCUUGAUUACCAGUAGAGGUCAAUGUCUGGAGCUUUAUACAUCAGGAGUAUUACACUUACUGAGAACUUAAAUAUUUCCUUAAAUGCUUAUUUUGGAGAGAAUUUUCUCAUACCAAAAUGUUCUCAGUAUCACUUUGUGUCAUUGUAUUCCUUGCACUAAAGACACAUCCACCCUCAAAAGCAAGCACAGGAAAUUCCAACACUACAAAAGCGGUUUGUUCAUAUAAAGGUGAGAUUUUGGCCUGACAGGCCAAUAAAAAAGUGGUUGCUCCUGAAUUCUUCUUCUUCUUUUUUUUUUUUUUUAACAAAUGCUAAAAAAUACCUCAUUUUUCUUACAUAAUAUUCAAUCUUGUGUAUCUUUGUGCACAUGUAUAAGAAAUAAAAAUUCACAUAGCAAGCUAACCACCAGCCAUAUAGUCAUAAUUGCUUCUGGAAAUAUUGUACUUGAAGACAUUUUCACAUCAGCUGAAUGUGUUCAAGUAUCAUCAUAACGUGGUGUUUACACCAGAUUAAUACCAUGUGCUGUGUGGGAAUUAUGUCAGGUUAUAAAUGGAAAUACAGUACACAAUCUGAAAUUCAGGAAUAUGGUAGAGUCUAAUUUCUUUUAAAGUGCUGUUAAUCAAGAAGAGCACAAGUACACAGGUCUGAAUAACAGCGCUCUCAGUUUACGCUGGUAUAGUGAGGGUAGGACCCAAUUCCAUCUGCCCUCAAGUUUCGUUAAACAAGUCAUAAAAAUAUCACCAGUUACAAUUAUUUCUGCAUAAUAGUAGUGGACUAAUGAAUUCAUUAAAGCAGACAGGAGUGCUGCUAGAAAACCAUGGUGAGCUCUCCAAUCUGAUGAGAAUUCUUUUUCUAGCUUUUUUUCUCCCAAAAUGGCGCCACUUCUCCAUGGCUCCUCUAGGCCUCAUGUGAUGCUGUCAACACAUUUCAACUCAACGCUGAAAGCACUUGUUUAAUCUGCAUUUUGCUCACUGCAUAAAUAGUUUAACAGUUGUCGAGAGGGUCAGAAAUAGGAAUAAAAGCACAAAAAAGUGGGAGAAGACGUGAAGAAUGCAGCAGCAGAAUGAGACUAAAUUGAAAACUGAGUUAAAAACAGAUGAGGAAUUAAGGAGUAGAAACUGAGAACCAAAACCAGUGCAAUCCAAGGGAACUUUCCAUUGAUUUCAAUCAGACCCCUGGGGAACAAAGACGUGGAGAGUAAUGACACUGAGAGAGAUGGCAUUGUUACCACAACAGACCUUAGCAAAGUGGGGGCGUAUGGCUGCAGAAAGCAAUGGUUUGCCAAGGGAAUAUCUUCCAGCACUGCCAAAGAAGAGGUAGGCUCUACUUCAUGGGGUAGGAGGACUGGUUCAGAAGCCAGGCAGUUGCAUGAAGUUGGCACUGGGCUCCACGUACCCAUUCAUAGUGCUUAUUAGCUCUGUGAUGAACCAGGCCAGAGAAGGAGCAUGGCAGAAUCAGGUCCCUCAGCUCUCUGCAGAGCUGUCCCAUGUAUUAUGUUCAGACUGCCUAAAACAAGGAGAACACCUGAUUCCUUGGCCAGCUCCCUAAAUUCAUACUCAAGUUCUUCUGAAAAGACUGCAUUGCUCAGGUUAGUAGCUGGGAAAAAAAGAAAAAAGGAAAAAAAAAAGACAAGAAAUGGCAACACUACAUUAAAGCUCUGAGUCUAAAUGAGACUGACUGAGCAACAUUAUGUGAGAAGAUUUCAGAAAAUUACAGCAUGUGAGAAGAUCUCAAAAGUAAAGGGCACAUUAAUCCCUCAUAAAGUAUAAUUCGAGUUUAAAGAUAAUUUUCAUCUUAGAGUGGAUAUGCAUGCUGUAGGAUCGUAGCUUCUUGUGUAAGUAGUGAAGUAUCUGCAGGGUAUUCUAUGGAGUGCUUCCCUGUGGCACAGUAAGUUAUCCCCUGUAUCUUCCAUUAAAACAUGCUAUAUGUUCAUGUUAUUCACAUAAACAUUACCUAACUCUCUUAGUGAUGACAGAUUGCCAUUUUGAUUAAAAAUUUAAGGGCAUGCUGUUGGUUUGACCCUGAUUCAUCUACUGAGUAGGACGUGAUAUCUUUUGUGCUAAUCUAGCUCUAAGCAGAUUAAUAUAUAUAUACUUGUAUAAAUAUAUACCCAUACACAUACAAAAAUAUAUCUGUACCUAAAAAAGUGUUGGAGGACUGAAUGAAGGAGAGCAUUAACUCUCUCUUUGCACAGGUCCUAUUAAUAUGAAAAUUAGUGUAAUAUGAUUAACUGCUCCUUUUAACACCAAAGAGUGAGUCUUGAGAGAUUAUUUUGCAAGAUGAUAACAUUUCCCUAUCCGGUUUGUAACCCUAGGGAAAACUGAAAAAAUGUGGAUUUUGAUUUGAACAAUAAUGAAAUGGUAAGUGAUAUAGCUUUGCUGUCUUAUAAUGACUGUAUUAAUUUGCAAGCUGGAGUGCUAAACCAGAAUGGAGGUGCUUGAGGAGAUAUGCCUGUUAUCUAGGCAACAGUUAAUAUGAUGAAAAAGCUAUUUAGAAGCAGCUCCAUGUUUUUAUCAUAAAUAUAACUUUAAUUCCUUGAGAAUCUCCAUAAAGUCCUGGUAGAAUGUAAUAAAUGCAACAUAAUCUAAAAGAGAAGACUGUCAUCUAUAACCAUUCCCAAUAUUAGUUAUGGAUCUUUUAAAGUUUGAAAGCACUUUCUGUAAGAGAAUCUAUCCCAUAUAUUCCAUCCUAUAUUACUUUCCAGUUUAGAAAAAUGACUUAACUGUGAUAAAGAGAUUCAAUUUUUACCUUUUGCUUGCUUUUGAGUUAGCAUGGCAGACCUUAUCUAUUAAUUUGCCAGUAAGAAUCUCUCUUCAAUUGUGCUUUUUUUCCCCCAAAAGUGAAAAAGUCUUUUCAAUUUUAAUUUCAGCGUAGGAAAGAAGUGCUCCACAAGCAGAUGACAAAAUGGAACUAUAUGCAGACUGUGUUUUAUCACCAGACUAAAAAUGCAAAGCUUCUUUCAAUACAGUGCUCUUAUGAUUGUCAAAAAUUUUUAUUACUGAUAUUUAUAUGUGAUGAGGCUGAAGAAGGACUUUUAUUAACUGGUGAGACUAUACAGAUUUCAUGUCACAUUUACUGAAGCUAAAUUUAAUUUGGCAAGGCUGUAAACCAUAGCCAAUUUUUCUACAGCAAUACCCUAAUUUCAGCCUUUGGAAAAUAAUCUUUUUAAAGUUCCUUGGAGGUCAGCCUAGAGGCCUGGGAAAUGAAGGAUGGAACCAAGAAAUAAACACAGGGCUAAACUGAGUUUCCCACAACAUACAGUUCAGACCUCAGUCAGAACCUCCCCAGUCUGGCCUCUCCAUGGCACUCAUGUUUUGCCUCAUCUUAUGUUGCAUCUCAGUGAAGAUAUACUGGCACACUCUGCACACAUAUUUGGGCAAAUGAUGCUGUAUUGAGGAAGGAAGAGACUGAAGAGUAGCCUUUACACAACACAACGCAUUGCCAGCAACUGACAUAGGCUAGCAGGCUGAUGUUCUGGGGCAGUAUUUAAGGCAUUGUCAGUUGGUUGGUCUUGCCCAGAUGCAUAGAGCAGGUAGGUAUUUUUUUUCUCAAUUUUUGUACGGAGAGCUGAAUGAACUUUAGGUGUAGGCGUUUUGGUAAGAACAGUUCAGGAGCCUGGUGUACUCAUGAGGCAGAUGUUGUUUGCAGUAGGCUGAAGCAUGUGAUGCUGUUGUAGAGUCUGAAGGCAAGUGUGUUGUUACCAAAUAGUGGUACAACACGAGUAAAUGAGGAGGUAAAUAAAUAUUUCCCAAAGGAUGGGGAACAAAUCUGGGUAAAGACAAGGAGUAACAUCAUUUCUCAAGGAAGGGUUGGAUCCUCUAGUCCUGUUUAAAGUAAAUACAGGGCAAGAAAAAUAAGAUUUAUUGGUAAGCACUAGAACAUGUGUUCUGAUGUUUAUUUGGGCAAAAAUUAUUUUUCCUCCACAUGACAGUGGCACAAAAAAAUGUACUGUUAUAAGUUGAGGCAGACUUCUAACUUUGAAGAGGAAAAGCUCUUGGGGAAAGUAUGGGAAAUAUUAAAAUAUAUGACUACCGUUUACUUUUUUUAAGCAAGUAUAAAAUGCCUCUAACCAGCCCUUGACUUACAAUCACUGAGAACGUGAAUAUUAUGACAGGAGAAGCUCUCUGCUAUCUAUUCACAUAAGCAGUUACUCGAAUAAGGAGCUGUCAUCCUUUCUAUGAGGGUUUCUCUGAAAGUAAUGCAUUCUAUAUUAUAAUGCUGACCCAUCACAUCAGAGGUGGAUGGUGGUGGUAUGGCAGUAGAGACUGAACCUCUAUAUCUGUCAGUAUACCAUUACAUUUUAUUGCCUUGUGACUGCAGCAGAGGGGCAGUCUGACAAAAUGGCGUCUGACACAGAAGUGCAAAUGAAGCAAAGGCAUGUCAUUGAAUUCCUCCAUGCAGAAAAAGUGGCACCCAGUGACAUUAACCAGUGCUUGCUGAAUGUUGAUGGAGACCAAACAGUGAAUGUGAGCACAGUGAGGCAAGGGGUGGUGUGUUUCAGCAGUGGAAACAGUGACAGUGGGUAAUCUGCACUGGUGUAGAUUUUUACAAGUGCGGCAUGCAGGCUCCUGUUCAUUGCUGGCAAAAAUGCAUAGCUAGUGGUUGUGACUAUGUUGAAAAAAUAGUGUUUUGUAGCUGAAAGUUUUCUCUGUCAAACAGUGUUAUUGUGGUCUUUGUACCUGUUGCAGUUUCCAUGGAAAUAAAUAGGAGGCAUUACUUUUGGGGCAACCUACGCAUAUAUUCUGCGUGCUAACAUCAUAGACACAGCUUUUUGCAUCACAUGGCAGAAAAGAUUUUGCCUUCUCCUGAGACAGAACUGACAGGACACGAUGGAGAAUCUGAGGGAAUCUGAAGGAUAUCCUCCCCACACCAGUAUUUACCUUUAAACACUCUCUCCUGGCUUAGGGCAGCAGGAAGGAAGUUUUUUUGUUGAGCUUUGGUCUUCAGAAUGCCUACGUUUAUGUGCAGAUUGCAGGAUGUUAUGGCGUUGGCUAUGUCAAUAUUGUCUGAGUGCAUUCUUCAACCCUGUAGCUCUGAGCAGGUAGAAGUCUGUCUGUAGCUAAAUGAUAAGGCUCUAUCUGCAGUAAGUAUAAUAACAUCGUCCACACACACGUACAGACGGCUACAGAAGAGUGAUGAGACAUUUUGUUUUGCCAAAUAUAGAACCUAAUGAAAGAAAUCACGGGUUCUACAUUUUAGCGCCUGAGACUUUUAAUCGUUGAACUUUUGAGUUCAAGCUCUUGGCUCUAGAAAAAUUCAGGCUUUUAUUGCAUUAUUUAGUCCUUCCUUCUCCCGCUAAAAUCCUAGGGCUCGAAUUAAUUACACACACAAAUCUUGGCACAGGUUUCAAUUUAAAGAGAAACAUUUUUCUUCUGUUAACUUUGUGCCUUUCCUCCAGUGGAGGGACAAGUUUUGAUUACAACUGGGAACACAGUCAUCCCAGAAAGGCUUUGGAAAGAAACAUUUCUUCUAAAGCUUAAAAUAUUUUGCAAAACUCACUUUCAUCAAAGCUCCUUCAUCACUGCUAUUAAAAUAUAUGUCACCAAUUUCAUUUAGGUUUAUGCAAAAAAAGAAUCCAUAAACUGCUGUCAUUUCUUUUCACUGCCAAUUUCUCGGCUGGUAUAAACCACCAUUAUUCCAGCUUGGUAACGCUGCUGUGCAUCCAGCUCUGGAUCUGGCUCCUGCUUUCCAUUAAUUGUGAUACAGGGUAACUGGAUGAAAUUCUGUGGCCUGUGUUUUAUAGGUAGUUAGACUUGAUGCUCUAAUGGUCCCUCUUCUGCCUUUAAAUUCUAUGAAUCUAAUGAAAAUUGUGUGUGCAUCAAGGGGAAAAUACGCCUGUUUACCAUACAAAAUUCUUGUGCCUCAUUUCACAAGAAGCCAGGAUUUCUUUUCACAGUAUUGAUAAUUAUAUUACAAACAGUAUUUAGCACAUGAAAUUAAUAAAUCUUUUGCUUCCUCGUUUACACCCGUUUCCCAUAUUGUAUUAGUAACCACACAUUAGCUAAUCAGCAGGUUGAGGGGAAAGCUGCCAAAAGCAGAUCUGAUAAUUGGCAGCAUUCAAACAAUCAUAGCAGGAAACUUUACACUUCCUGCAGACAAGGCUACUGAUGAAGACAAUGCUGAGAUAUAACUUUAGGGGAAAAGAAUUAGGAUGUUUAGUACUUUCAUGUUUAAUGAUCUCUUGAAAAACUGGAUUCACAGCUCAUGGGAGGCACAGGUAUUUUGCACAGAAACAAUGUAGAAAACCACCCAACACUGGUAAAGGGAGUUCUGAUAGCCUAGUGAUCAACUAGAAGCAUUCAUGAGAUUUGUCCUCUGCCAAGUUUUACAAGCCAUUUAAAACACCUUUUUAUUUGUCUACAUCCAUAUAUGGUACAGUUAUUACUGUAAUAGGUGAGAACUUGACACAUUUAUCAGCACAACAUUCCCGAGAUAAAUAUCAACAAAUCCAUCCCACUGGUAGCUAUUUUAAACACACAUCAGCUGAGUUUUAGACCUACUCAAGACUUCAGGUGAUUUAGAUGAGAUUUAAAACAAAAUUCAAUGUUCUAAUUUUCCACUCAUCUACUGCUUAGCUUUGGCACUAUCUAAAUUCUUUCAAGCGUUUAAAGUCACCCAAAUUUCCUCAUAUAUUCUCCUUUAAGGAAUAGAAACACUUCAGUCUUCACAGUGUGAAGAAGCUGUAGCUCUUCGGUCAAAGAAGUUCAACUUUCAGCAUUAUCCGCCACUAAGCAUCCUUCAUUUAUCUCAUUGUUGGCAGCAUUCUUGCUAAUGUUUUACUUCACAUAUCUUUCAGAUCAAGUACAGCAGGAAUGGCUGUAGAAGAGCAGAGAUGAAGAUCUCCCACUUCUCCUCACAUCUGAGUUGACUCAGGUUCUGUGGGCAAACAUACCUGUGAGUUUCUUUCACAGAGAGGAACAGUUUCAACAGGAAAAGAUGGCAGCAGAGGGAUUGUCUGACAAAAUGGAGUCUGACCUGGAAAGGCAUAUGAAGUGUGGAACUGAACUCCUCCAUGUGGAAAAAAUGGAACCCAUUGACAUUCAUUGAUGUUUGUUGAACAUUUAUGGAGACCAAACAGUGGAUGUGAGCGCUGCGAGGUGGACUUCUACAUUACUGCAGCUCUGAAAUCUCAACAGUUUACAUGCUGAACUGCCGGAGAGAGGCCCUGGGAAGCACAAAACCUCAACAAUGAUGCCAUGGCAUGGCAGAAAGAUUCAAACUGAGGACGUUCGUGAAAAGGUUUUCGCUGAGUCAAAGAGAUUUUGUGAGACUCCAGCCCAGUAUAGCAUGAUUAUGGCAAAACUAUUAGGGCAGCUCAGUUUCCACAGCACAAUCAUAUUUGCAGUAUAUGCAUAAAAAGCGUGACAAUAAAGACUAUUUAGGUUACAAUUACAAAACCUAGAAUGCUCAGCAAUCCAGGGAGCUUUCACUGUUUCCUAUAACAACCUGAUCACACUUUUUAAGAUCUGUCAUAAUAAGGAAACAGUUGCAGCAUCGAUGUGCUUAAAACUUUGCUUAUGUGAUCAGUCCAUUUUACAAAUUGCCAAUUAGUCAUGUUCAU